GCACCUGCAAAAUCAGGUGUCAGGAUUGGCGUCCUGAUACACACAUAGGGAAAGAUAUUGCUCACAGCAAUGUCACU
rnacentral:sRNA from 1 species